rnacentral:tRNA from 1 species
GCCCGGGUGGCGAAACGGUAGACGCAGCACACUAAGGAUGUGUGGUCCUCGCGACGUGAGGGUUCGACUCCCUCCCCGGGCA